CAGCCAGGCCAGCAGUCAGUGGUGCUCUCGCUUGCAGCUCCUGGCUCUGCAGGCAUUUGUAGCUCACAAAAAUAGAGCAGGCGCUUGGUGCUACAAAUAAUAAUGGAGUGCUGAUGACGGAGAGAAUUUUAAGAUGGAAACAUUGCUUGGAGAGUUUUCUAAGGGAUUCUGAUCAACUUACAAGACGGGAAGGGAAGGCAAGACAAAGCAAGAUCAAGAUGCUGCACCGCUGGGCCAGAAGCGAGUGGAACAUCUUGUUACGGAAAUAGCCAUGAGAAUGCUCCUCCCUGCAUUAGAAAACCUGCUAUUUAAAGCAGGAUCGACUGCUAGUCCUCCUUGCUGCUGUUGUAAUUUGGAUAUUGUGGCAUGUGCARAUAAUAUUUCCUCAUGAAAGGAAACUUCCAGCAAUGACAGUGCUCCUUUGGCAUAUCCUCUCCCAAAGGGGAGAAAUCCACUCGUCCCUGGAAAUGGCAUCUCCCUCUGAAAACAAACUACAGGAUCUGUGGAAUUUUUUUUCCCCUCUAAGACUUUAGGCAAAUGAAUUUUGACCCACAAAUGCCAUCAGGGUGGUGCAAAUGYGGCACAAUUUCCUAGAUGUGUUUGGGCACAUGGGAGAGUUCUCUUAAAGCAAAAAUACAUGGAGAAAAUGAACAAACCUAUGUGACUUGAAAAAAAGCUCACUUUCCCCCAAGAUAUGCAUAAUAAAACUGGCAAUACACGCCUUUGAAAGAGAUAUUGCUUUACCUUUAAUGAUGUCAGUGAGCAAAAAUCCUUUUAUUCUUGGCUAAUCACAGUGGGGUGAUACCUUUCAAAUACUGGGAUUAUCAAACRUAGAUUUUUCAGGGAGGCGAACCCAUGCUUGGCUUAAGCGCCCUCAAACUUUUCUCAAGUUGAGAUCCACAUCUGUAUCCCAGCUCUACGGCUCAAGCCUGCUGCUGUUUGUUAUUGUUUGCAUUACUUCAGGGCCCACUUAGGGAUUGUACAAAAUGUUCUUUUAAAAAAAAAAUAAAUAUUGAAGUGUUCGUACAGCAUUUGAGAGAAGCACAUUCCUUUUGUGAGGUGCUGCCAUCUGAUCACUACAGAAGUACAGAAAAGAAAUCUCGGGGGCACGUAGGGCGCUGAAGCUUGGGGAAUAAAUGUUUUUUCAGUGUUAGGGGCUAGGAGUCAUCCUCAUUUCCAUGUAAGCCCCUGUGCAAAGUGAAGGGAGUGCAUGAGACAUUUGAGGAGCAUUCUUAUGUCCCAUGUAAGUGAACUUAAAGAACUCACUGGCACAGGGCUUGRAAGAGAAUUAGGCCACCCGAUCCUGAAUUUUAGAGGUGAGGAUCUCUUAUCAUUCUAACAAGUCCUAGAAAAKAAAGAGUUUUUGAGAARCCCUGUUGCUGAGCCCUGACGGCUGUGAAGAUACAGCUGAGUUGAUGGAGAUGUCAGAGAUAGAGAUCAUCCUCUUGUCUCUCCUAUAUUUAUCUCCUUUCCUCCAAACUCCUUGUUUUAUUUUUAUUGGGAUUUUCUUCAGAUGAACCCUAUUAAACGCAUCACUAGCRUUGAAAUUUGCCGAUGCCAA